GAUGAACGCUGGCGGCGUGCCUAAUACAUGCAAGUCGAGCGAACAGACGAGGAGCUUGCUCCUCUGACGUUAGCGGCGCACGGGUGAGUAACACGUGGAUAACCUACCUAUAAUACUGGGAUAACUUCGGGAAACCGGCGCUAAUACCGGAUAAUAUAUUGAACCGCAUGGUUCAAUAGUGAAAGACGGUUUUGCUGUCACUUAUAGAUGGAUCUGCGCCGCAUUAGCUAGUUGGUAAGGUAACGGCUUACCAAGGCGACGAUGCGUAGCCGAGGUGAGAGGGGGGUCGGCCGCACUGGAGCUUAGACACGGUCCAGGCUCCUACGGGAGGCACCAGUAGGGAAUGUUCCGCAGUGGGCGAAAGCAUGACGGAGCAACGCCGCGUGAGUGAUGACGGUCUUCGGAUCGUAAAACUCUGUUAUUAGGGAAGAACAGAUGUGUAAGUAACUAUGCACGUCUUGACGGUAACUAGUCAGAAAGCCACGGCUAACUACGUG
rnacentral:rRNA from 1 species